AUCAAUGAAGUCAGUAAGGAAGAAAGCAAACAGUGAAAGAGUUUACUGAAGUAUAAAAGUGAGGACAUAAAUAAUUGCAUCUCAGACGCAUGGUACAUGAAAAAAUCCACACUAUGGUGAACAGACAACCACUAUGCCAAAGGUAAACACGUCGUUUUUUUCCAUCUGGACUUGUUAAGACUAACCAUUAACAUACUAUUAAAUGCCAUCAAAAUCCGAAUCGCUUGAUUGCUCCAUAUGUUUGCAUUUGGCAAUGGAGUUUGGAACAAGGUCUGCAAAAGGCUGUUAGUUUUUACGCUCAUUCUAUCUUUCCAGGGAUUGAGCCUUACAUUAUCGAAAUCAUAAAUGUGAACCUCUUUGAUUUUAUGAACGUCUAUAUAUCCCCAUUUUGAAAAGUCAUAGGUUCCAAGCCCAAUGUCAACGUUCAAACUCAUUAAACUAAAGGCCGAUCCAGUUUAAACGUCGAAAAUUAAGUUCUUAAAUAAUAAGAUAAAAGUUUCGCCAAAAAUUGCUUUUUUUUUUAUCUCAAAAUUAACUAAGCCAGCAUUUGAAAGGUGAAACUACAAAAUCCCGUACUAGCCCAUAUACUGCACAUUUUACCGAACCCGACGCUAUUGCUAACCGUCCCGAUAUACUAAUGCCAACAUACAAAACGAAGUACUGUCGAAUCAAUCAAUAAAAGUCUUAAUAAUGCAAACAUUUAGUGUUAAUUUUAUUUCAUCCCAUAGUAAUCGUAUAUUAUUAAACAUAAGUUUCUUCAAGCCGAGAACUUUGGUAACUGAAAGCGAAAACAAAGGUAAACAAUGGACUUCGCA